rnacentral:rRNA from 1 species
AGAAACACGUAAGAAUUUGCCCUCUAGUGAAGAAUACCCACGAGAAAUUGUGGUUAAUGCUGCAUAUCUUCUUCGGAAGAAAGGUGGCUUUAUGCUGCCGCUAGAGGAUAAGCUUGCGCGCUAUUAGCUUGUUGGUGAGGUAAAGGCUCACCAAGGCGAUGAUGGCUAGCCGGCCUGAGAGGGUGUACGGCCACAUUGGGACUGAGAUACGGCCCAGACUCCUACGGGAGGCAGCAGUGAGGAAUAUUGCGCAAUGGACGAAAGUCUGACGCAGCGACGCCGCGUGGAGGAUGACGGUUUUCGGAUUGUAAACUCCUGUUAAGCGGGAAGAAAGCUUGAGCUCUAAUAUAGCUCAAGGAUGACGGUACCGCUAGAGAAAGCACCGGCUAACUUCGUGCCAGCAGCCGCGGUAAUACGAGGGGUGCAAACGUUAUUCGGAUUUACUGGGCGUAAAGGGUGUGUAGACGGCGUAUUAAGUUCGUUGUUAAAUCUUCCGGCCUAACCGGAAGCUCGCGAUGGAAACUGAUAUGCUUGAGGAUGGAAGAGAGAAGUGGAAUUCUCGGAGUAGCGGUAAAAUGCGUAGAUCUCGAGAGGAACACCGAUGGCGAAGGCAGCUUCUUGGUCCAUUCCUGACGUUGAGACACGAAAGCGUGGGUAGCAAACAGGAUUAGAUACCCUGGUAGUCCACGCCGUAAACGAUGAUCACUGGAUGUCGGUUUCGCUCUGCGAAAUCGGUAUCGAAGCUAACGCGUUAAGUGAUCCGCCUGGGAAGUACGGUCGCAAGAUUAAAACUCAAAGGAAUUGACGGGGGUCCGCACAAGCGGUGGAACAUGUGGUUUAAUUCGACACUACGCGAGGAACCUUACCUGGGCUUGACAUGCUCUUGCCCGCCGUGGAAACACGGUUUCCUGAAUUUCGGUUCAGGCAGGAGUACAGGUGCUGCAUGGCUGUCGUCAGCUCGUGUCGUGAGAUGUUUGGUUAAGUNCUGUAACGAGCGCAACCCCUGUUGCUAGUUGCAACUGCUUUAUGCAAGGCACUCUAGUGGGACUGCCUGGGAAACCAGGAGGAAGGUGGGG